rnacentral:misc_RNA from 1 species
GUACGAGGAGCCGGUCGCCAUCAUGCUGUCCACCUCUCAGGCUCUCCUUGCCUCGUUGCGGUACCGCAGACCGUACUGGAUGCUCUUCCUCAAGGGCGCCGACAACUGGAAGAUCUACACUGUUAUCCAGCAGCCAGACCACCAGCGUACGGAGAUGUUGUACCAGGCGUGGCUAGGCGGCCUCGACAGACCCUAUGUGCGGCCGAAGUGCAUGGCGCAUCAGCCGGUGUGGCUCAGCAAGAAGCGCCACCUCCUCCAGAAGGCUCGCCUCGAGGGCCCCGAGACGUCCAUGGAAAAGUACGUACUGGAGUGGUACAAAAAGUUCCACUCCUUCCAAGGGACGGAUCGGCCCACCGCAGAGGACCUGCACACUGCCUUCGACCUCGUGGAGCGCCCGCUUGACCUCAGCUACGCCUGUCAGCUGCUGAACCAGUGCAGAAACCACUACUAUAUUCGCCUCAGCGAUGACUCCUUCGAGAUCUUCCUUGAGGCGUGCCUGCGGGUGGAUCGGAGGGACUGCGCCAACUAUGCCCUCGAGCAUGCGGAUGAGCUCGGUUUCUGGAACGUGAGCGACAACUGCCGGCGCUACUUGGCCGGAGAGCAGACGUGGUAUAAGAGAUCGCCGGUGGACCUCCUCUACUACCCCCUCGAAGAGAACGCGGAGCGCAACGCCGCCGUUACGUCUGGCGCCGUGGCCUCUGCGGCGGCCGCCUCUGAUAAGGUCACGGGGGAUGAUAAGGUGGAAGGAGGGCCGCGGACCAGCGCGACUACUUCGGCGACUGUGGCUUCCGCGGAAAGCGAGGGCGAGGCGGAGGCCACCGAUGACGAGAUCGCGCGUCUGCAGGCGGAGCUGGAGGCACUGGAGAGGGAGAUGGGGGCAGAGGGGGUGGACGGAACUGACAAGGGCUGAGGUGCCGCGACAGUCGAGCAGUGCGCCGCCAUCGAAGGCGUUUGUGCGUGUCGCUGUCCAUCGUGUGUGUGUGUGUGUGUGUGUGUGUACGAUGGUGUGGUUCGCUCUCUGCCUCCUUACACUCUAAGCGCCCUCACCCGUAACAUG